GCCUCAGUAACGGCGAGUGAAGCGGCAACAGCUCAAAUUUGAAAUCUGGCCCCCCUCUGGGGGGUCCGAGUUGUAAUUUGCAGAGGGCGCUUUGGCAUCGGCGGCGGUCUAAGUUCCUUGGAACAGGACAUCGCAGAGGGUGAGAAUCCCGUACGUGGGCGCCUGCCUUUGCCGUGUAAAGCCCCUUCGACGAGUCGAGUUGUUUGGGAAUGCAGCUCUAAAUGGGAGGUAAAUUUCUUCUAAAGCUAAAUACCGGCCAGAGACCGAUAGCGCACAAGUAGAGUGAUCGAAAGAUGAAAAGUACUUUGGAAAGAGAGUCAAAUAGCACGUGAAAUUGUUGAAAGGGAAGCGCUUGCAGCCAGACGUGCGCGCGGUUGCUCACCCCGGCUCUCGCCUGGGGCACUCUUCCGCGCGCAGGCCAGCAUCAGUUCGGGCGGUCGGAUAAAGGCCUCUGUCAAGUACCUUCCCCCGGGAAGGCCUUAUAGGGGAGGCGCAAUGCGACCAGCCCGGACUGAGGUCCGCGCAUCUGCUAGGAUGCUGGCGUAAUGGCUGUAAGCGGCCCGUCUUGAAACACGGACCAAGGAGUCUAACAUCUAUGCGAGUGUUUGGGUGUCAAGCCCGGGCGCGCAAUGAAAGUGAACGGAGGUGGGAUCCCCUUCCGGGGUGCACCAUCGACCGAUCCUGAUGUCUUCGGAUGGAUUUGAGUAAGAGCAUAGCUGUUGGGACCCGAAAGAUGGUGAACUAUGCUUGAAUAGGGUGAAGCCAGAGGAAACUCUGGUGGAGGCUCGCAGCGGUUCUGACGUGCAAAUCGAUCGUCAAAUUUGGGCAUAGGGGCGAAAGACUAAUCGAACCAUCUAGUAGCUGGUUCUGC
rnacentral:rRNA from 1 species